rnacentral:rRNA from 1 species
CAAAUCAGGUAGGAUUACCCGCUGAACUUAAGCAUAUCAAUAAGCGGAGGAAAAGAAACUAACAAGGAUUCCCCUAGUAACUGCGAGUGAAGCGGGAAAAGCUCAAAUUUGUAAUCUGGCGGUCUUGGGCCGUCCGAAUUGUAAACUAGAGAAGCGUUAUCCGCGCUGGACCGUGUACAAGUCCCCUGGAAUGGGGCGUCAUAGAGGGUGAGAAUCCCGUCUUUGACACGGACUACCAGGGCUUUGUGAUGCGCUCUCAAAGAGUCGAGUUGUUUGGGAAUGCAGCUCAAAAUGGGUGGUAAAUUCCAUCUAAAGCUAAAUAUUGGCGAGAGACCGAUAGCGAACAAGUACCGUGAGGGAAAGAUGAAAAGAACUUUGGAAAGAGAGUUAAACAGUACGUGAAAUUGCUGAAAGGGAAACGCUUGAAGUCAGUCGCGUUGGCUAGGGAUCAGCCUUACUCUGGUGGGGUGUAUUUCCUUGUCGACGGGUCAGCAUCAGUUUUGGUUGCUGGAUAAAGGCCAGGGGAAUGUGGCACCUUCGGGUGUGUUAUAGCCCUUGGUCAGAUACAGUGGCUGGGACUGAGGAACUCAGCACGCGCAAGCUGUGCUUAGG